rnacentral:rRNA from 1 species
GAUGAACGCUGACAGAAUGCUUAACACAUCAGCAAUUGAUUGGUGGCGGACGGGUGAGUAACGCGUACAGAACUUGCCUCCCAGCUAGGGACAAUAUUUAGAAAUGAAUGCUAAUACCUGAUACUGUGAGAGAGAUUUGCGUCCCAUUAGCUAGUUGGAGAGGUAACAGCUCACCAAGGCGAUGAUGGGUAGCCGGCCUGAGAGGGUGAACGGCCAGAAGGGGACGGAGACACGGCCAUUACUCCUAAGGGAGUCAGCAGUGGGGAAGAUUGGACAAUGGACCGAAGUCUGAUCCAGCAAUGCUGUGUGAACGAUGAAGUUUUCGGAAUGUAAGUGCUGUCAGUGGGGAAGCGGUAACAACAGAAGAAGUGACGGCUAAAUACGUGCCAGCAGCCGCGGUAAUUC